GAUGAACGCUGGCGGCGUGCCUAAUACAUGCAAGUCGAGCGAACAGACGAGGAGCUUGCUCCUCUGACGUUAGCGGUGGACGGGUGAGUAACACGUGGAUAACCUACCUAUAAGACUGGGAUAACUUCGGGAAACCGGAGCUAAUACCGGAUAAUAUAUUGAACCGCAUGGUUCAAUAGUGAAAGACGGUUUUGCUGUCACUUAUAGAUGGAUCCGCGCCGCAUUAGCUAGUUGGUAAGGUAACGGCUUACCAAGGCGACGAUGCGUAGCCGACCUGAGAGGGUGAUCGGCCACACUGGAACUGAGACACGGUCCAGACUCCUACGGGAGGCAGCAGUAGGGAACCUUCCGCAAUGGGCGAAAGCCUGACGGAGCAACGCCGCGUGAGUGAUGAAGGUCUUCGGAUCGUAAAACUCUGUUAUUAGGGAAGAACAAAUGUGUAAGUAACUAUGCACGUCUUGACGGUACCUAAUCAGAAAGCCACGGCUAACUACGUG
rnacentral:rRNA from 1 species